AAAGAAACCAACCGGGAUUGCCUCAGUAACGGCGAGUGAAGCGGCAAGAGCUCAAAUUUGAAAGCUGGCUCCUUCGGGGUCCGCAUUGUAAUUUGCAGAGGAUGCUUCGGGUGCGGCCCCUGUCUAAGUGCCCUGGAACGGGCUGUCAGAGAGGGUGAGAAUCCCGUCUGGGAUGGGGUGUCCGCGCCCGUGUGAAGCUCCUUCGACGAGUCGAGUUGUUUGGGAAUGCAGCUCUAAAUGGGUGGUAAAUUUCAUCUAAAGCUAAAUAUUGGCCGGAGACCGAUAGCGCACAAGUAGAGUGAUCGAAAGAUGAAAAGCACUUUGAAAAGAGAGUUAAACAGCACGUGAAAUUGUUGAAAGGGAAGCGCUUGCGACCAGACUCGCCCGCGGGGUUCAGCCGGCAUUCGUGCCGGUGUACUUCCCCGUGGGCGGGCCAGCGUCGGUUUGGGCGGCCGGUCAGCGGCUCCCGGAAUGUAGCGCCUCUCGGGGCGCCUUAUAGCCGGGGGUGCAGUGCGGCCAGCCUGGACCGAGGAACGCGCUUCGGCACGGACGCUGGCAUAAUGGUCGUAAACGAC
rnacentral:rRNA from 2 species